CCCGCGCGCUGCUGGAGGAGCGACCCUGCUUGGCCCUCAAGAUGCUGGAGACGGUGCCCGCUGCUCUCUGACACCUGCGGUCUCUUAGUCAUGAUCUGCAGAAAAUAGCUGCUGGAGAGCUCUUCAGGGAUACUGGUGCUGCCCUCAUCAGUGCAUUUCUCAAACCCUCAGAGAAGAGAAAGUCCAAUGGAACUUCCCAGGAGACUUGGAAUGUGAGUGAACAGGUCUUACCUGAUAAAUUCAUUCCAGUAAUCUGAGCUCCCUAAAUCUCUGGAUGUUUUCCUCUAGCAGGGGUCAGUAAACUAUAGCCCACAGGUUGACCUGCUUGGUUUUGCAAAUAAAUUUUUAUGGGAACAUAAUUCCAUGCCAAUUUAUUUGCUUAUUGUGUAGGAUUGAGUUUAGGCUAAAACAGAAGAAUUAAAUAAUUGUAACAAAUACUGCACAGCUCAGAAGCCUAACAUAAUAUCAGUCCCUUUUUUAAAAAUAUGCUAUUACAAUUUUGCAAAUAUACAAAAGAAGUUCUGGUUCCUUAAAUUCAUUUUCAGUGUAAGCCACUUUCAGGUCGAAGAUUUAGUUAACCAACUAAGCAACUAGUUAGAGUGAUUCCCAUCACCUCAAAUCAGUACACUGAGUGAACAACCUCUGCUUAGUGCAUCCAUGUUAGUAAAUUAUGCCCUUCCAACUUUAAAUUUCUUUAACCUGAUCCAAUGCUUGUAGAAUACAAUGCCACCCAUAUUCACCAGGUUUCUGUCAAUUAGAAUUUAGCACCACAUUGCAAUUAUUUUGGUGUGUAUGUACGUCAUCAUGAGGUCAUACUUCAUAGCUGAAGAGUCAUCUGGUAUUUGCAUCUGUUCAUAGACCUAGAAGCAAUGAGAGGUGAUGGGAGUAGAUCUUGAGGAAGGUUGGUGGUAUUCUGAAGAGACAUUUUACUUCAGACAAUAGGAGACUAAUCUCAGAGAGGGGUAGAAAUGUUGCUUUAAUUGUCAAGGCAAUUUCUGUAGAAUUUAGGUUUUAAAUUUCUCAGCUUUAUCAGAAUUUCCUUAAAUGUUCCCCUUUCAAAAUUCAGGGUCUUACUCUUUUUCAAGUCAAUGCCUUAGACCCUUGAGAAGUUAUGAAUUUGAUUUGUAUUGCAUGUUAGCCACCCACAAUAUUAGGUUUUGCAUUUUGUUUUUAGAAAUCUCAAUCCUGUAGUUACAGAAGAUAAAAGUCACCUUUAGGACCAUUUUAAACGCCUUUUGGUUCCUUACCAAGAGAUUGAGCUGGGAAUGUAAGUCCCUAAUCUCAUGUUUUUCCUUCCAAGUUCUCCCUCACAUUUAGAAACAAUCAGGCAAUCCAUGAUAAUUUUACUUACUACCACUAAAUUGUUCUGUGGUAGCAACCACUUGGACAUGGAAAGUCUUUCCAAGUGGCUCUAGGUGAUACUUUAAGUAGUGUUUUUCUACUGAAUGUCAUAGACUACCAUUGCCCAAUUUGUUACUUAGAAUGGGAACAUAAAUGUCUUCCAAUCUAGCCAGAGCAAGAAAAAAGUUUUAAAUCAUUAAUAAUAAGCUUUUGUUACUCUAGAAUUACUUUAGGUAACGAUAAUUGUGUUAGUCAGGAAGCAGAGGCAUCAUACAUAUUAUGGGAAUAAAAGAUUUAUUAUAGGAACUAGGCUUUACCAAUUGAGGGAGAAGCUGGGGAAGUGAAAGUGCAGAAGGGAAAUUUGGAGGAUCUGAGAUAAAGCUUUAACCAGGCUACCUGAAGCACGAUGGCAGGUGGACAUGCUGAAGCUUGCAGAGAACUUGUGAAGCACAGCAUACCCAGUGGCCAAACUAGACUGUGAAGGGGGAGCCCAUAGAGAGGUAUCUGAGAAGCUGUGGCUUCUGUGCAGCUACCGUUUCUGUGAGUCUACAGCCAAGUAGCCAGUGGUGGUCUUAGAGCCACUGUGGGUCAGCUGGGUCAACAGUUGGAAAGAUAAGCUGAACAGGAAGUGGAAUGGAGCAAGGAAAAGCAGGGGAAGUGAAAGCCCAGAAAGAAAUUUGCACGUUCAUAGUCAAACAGACUCUCCCAGAUUCAUCACUUAACGACUGUGAUCUGCAAAACAUUAAUUUUUGUGAAUUUCCAUUUUCCUAGUUGUAUAAUAAAUGUGAAUAAAAUAUUUACCUUUAGGGGCUGCUUGCUUGCCUUUUAACAUUUUUUGGAAAUUCAUUUAUCCUUCUGUCCAUUUUUAAGCUGAUAUAAAAUGGUUUCAGCAUAAAGUAAAACUAGUUUCAAAAGAUGCGUCUUCUGGGCUGUUUUAAUUAUUGACAUAUGACAACAAAAUGGUAAUAUUAUUUAUAAUUUAGGUAUCCAAUAUAAUCUAAACACUAUAGCAGCUUUAUGCCCACCACCAUCAAUUUUUUUUCUUUUUUCUUUUUUAAAAUAUAUUUUAUUGCACUUUAGGUUCUGGGGUUCAUGUGUAUAAUAUGCAGGAUCGUCAAUUUAAAAAAUAUAUGAAUAAGCUCUUCUUCAAUAAUCAGAAAUUUUAUAUUGUUCCAUUUUCUCUUUUACCUCAUAUUUCCAUUCCAUUUUUCCCAUGUAAUUUUAUCUUAACAUAUUUUAAUUCUUGAAGGUCUUUUAUUGAUAGUAAAAUUGCAAUAAAAUAUGUAUAUAAAUUGAAUUUUUAAAAUAUUCUUUGUGAUCAUAAGACCUAAUAUCUUUUGUCUGAAUUAUAAUACAAUCAUUAUUGGCAUAGUAUUUAUCAAAUAAACUUAAAUAUAUUGUAGAAAUUGAUAAGCAAACCUAAAAAGUAAAGUUUAAUUAGAAAUGCACAUUCACAUAUAUAUAUAUAUAUAUAUAUAUAGAUGCCUAUGCAUGUAUAGAACUCCUUUCUCUAACAGUGAGAAAUUCCAUCACCCUCAAUAUGUUUACUUACUUGAUCAAUCCCACACAGAAGAUACCAACUGCUCAUCACCACCCCUUCCGUCACCCCAUGUCUACAACUGCCUCACCCCUUUUAGGCUGUGGCGUGUGCACAGGGCCACUAUGUAGAGGCUUUCUUCACCCUGCUUAGGCUCCCACACUUGGCGCUGGACUUGCAUUCUACUUUCUCUCUUUGUGUUAUUACAUUCUACCCUACCUACUGGCUUUUGGACUAAAUUAUUCAGAAAGGGAAGGAGAGAGUGAGAGAGGGAAAAGAGAAUGAAUUUUCUAGAAAUCUUUAUUCUUCUUUUUCUGAGAUAGGCAGGGCCAGAGAGAGAGAAAGAGCGCACACAAAGCUUUUCCAAAUGUUUCUCACCUAGAUCACAUAAUCCAGGAUGUCCUUCAACACUUGCUACGGAUACACGUUUACUGCUUUCUUCUCAGGAUCUUCCUCAGCAUCAGUAAUUUCUUUGGAGAGAAUUGGGGAGAAAGACGAAGAUAUACAUCUUUAAAAGGAGAUUGUCACUACUUCUCUAAUCCAACUAUACAAAUAUACCUGACUUCAGAGUAUUCCAGCACAGGCAGAAUACACAAUUUUUAAAUCUCCCACUUUUUCUAGGAUGGAAAAAUGUAUAAGAAAGGGAAAGACCAAAGCCCUAUUAAAUGUUUAUGGUGACUUGGUUAAAGAAGGUGUCAGGCACUGUGAUAAGAGUUUGGAUGGGUGAAACGUAACCCUUUCUUUUGUAAUAUGAGAUAAGUUUGGUUGUGAGAUGGGGAGAUGGGAAAGGAAAACCAAACUAAAGCCUUGACCACAGACUUAUUCUAGGCAGAUCAAUUUUAGCAAAAAAAUAGAGUCGAGAAAAUGAAAAUGGAUUUUCUUAUUUUUUUACUGUCUACAAGUUUUUGGAAAACUACCAUGAAUUUUUAUUAGGCACGUGUACCCAGUUGAGCCAUUGUUGGUGUAGAUGCUCAAAAAACAUUAUAAGUAGCAAUACAUUUGAGUAAAUUGAUGGCUCUGAAAAAAUAAAAUAUUUCAUACAGAUAAUCCAAUAAUGCCCAAAAGUUAGAAUGAGACGAAAUAUGUUAAAAUAUCAAUGAACAAUCACUUGUUAUUGAUUAAAAUAUCAAUUCGCCAAUGAAAAUAAGAAGUGGGUAUAAAUUACACUUCACUUCUAUAAGAUGGAACAGCAAGUAAUAGAAAACCCAGAAGUAAUUUUUUAAAUUUAUUUUAAUUUUUUGCCAUUGUAAAUCCAACUUUUCAUAUUAAUAUACUUAUUUCUGUCAUAGUCUCAACUAUUUAGAUUUAAGAUAUAAAUUAUUAUUAAAAUUACUGUUCAAAUCUUAAGGGCAAGAAGUCCUUUUUGGGAGUGGGGAUCCACUUAUUCACCCAUUCUGUUUCAUCAUUCUGCAAAUAGUUGAAUGCCUACCAAGAAUUAAGUACAGAGCCAGCGCAGAGAGUGAAAUAGAGAAUUUACAUAUGGUCCCUGCAUCCACAGAGAUACAGUUAAAAAUUCUUUGAUUGAAAGAAAAAAAAUAAAAAUAAAUACAAAAAACAAAAAACCACAUAACUUAAACAAGAAAAUGCAAAAUACAGAUUAGCUUGCCAAAAUGUGACUCUUGGCUGCAGAAAUUUGAGGGCCCUGUUUUUGAGGUGAUUCCACUGGUUCAUCCAGCUACAAACACCUUCCACACCUGAGUACUUUUUCCCUAAUUUGAAUUUUUCAAAAGGUAAAUUUAAUCAACAUGGCUCUUUGGUGCUGUUUCCAUCUCUCGGAAUGGGUUUGUGACUGCAAUUGGUAGUUUCACAAUAAACAAAAGGAAAGAAGAUUUUUUUUAAGGAUGGGAGAGUGGGAGGCUGGGGGUGCGGAAACCGGUUCUUCUACUGGCAGGAAAAGGGGAAGUGUAUCAGGAGUAGGAAUGUCUGUUCUAGCUAGCUUUCAAUCAUAAACCAAAAUCUCUCUCUGGUUCACCUUCUUAUUAAAAAAAUCAGCUUAGUUUCUCUUAGUUUAAAAUUUUAAGUGCUGGGUCAAUCCCUAACAGUGCUACUUCACUUUUCCCCUUCCCUCCUUUCUCUUCUUUUUUCUUUCUCUCUCUUUUACUGCUAGCCAUAUUGUUCAGCUUUCCUUAAGAGAGCUCAUACCCAUAAUCAUUGUAAUAUAGAAUUUAUUUAAAAAGUCAGCGCUGUAAUGUUUUUCUAUAAUUAUAAUAUUAAAAUAGAGCUAUAAUAGUUUUCAGAUUUGCAAAAAAUAUUUUUCAGAUAUACGUAUAUACCUACAUUUGCUACAUGUGGUAUACAUAAGAAUGCUAUUCUCAUUGUGCGGCACAUUGUGUAAAGAAGCAGCUCAAUCACUAGUCAGCACCAGCAAUUUCAAGCCUCCACUCUGGUGGCCUCUUAAUGUUUAAGGCGAAGGAAAUGUCCUGUGGUAACUGGGGAUGUUUAGAAGACGAAGGAUGGUGCCAGAGACUCAGUGUGACCCAACAUAUUACAGGAAUCCACUUUCCUUUUACAGCACCCUAAGGACAUGCAGUGAUUUUUAUCUUGAUGUCAAUUU